UUCUCCCGAAAUUGUUUCUUCCCUUCUCCCUCGCGACAGCGCCGUCUCUCUCAGCGGAAACCAAGAGGAAGCUAGGUCUUGGGUCUCCGGCGCCGGCGAAGCCUUAUUCCAGUCAUCCUUCACCGUGGGUGGUUAUCUCGACGGAGAGGAGCUCACGGGUACAAGAGGAAACCAAAAUUUUGCAAGCCGCCGAGCCCUAAAAGUCUUCCCCUUUCUUCUUCUCGGUUGUAAGCGCAAGAACGAGAUAAAGGAAAAGCUAAGAUAUGAAGGGAGGCGAUAGGGUGGUGGUGAUGAUGGAUGUGUGUGGUGGCUGGACUAUGGAGAGAUCCAGAAUGAGCUGGCAAAUUGCCAAGACUUUUCUGUUUAGUUCUUUUAGUUCUCUUUUAAGUGUUAUUAUGGGUUGAGACUGUAAAUAAGUUUAUUCCGCAUUUGUAAUUAGUUUUCCUUUAUUAUGAGUUGGAGUAGUAUAGUUGUUGCUA